GGUCUUUGACAUAAUUGAUACAGGCGACAAUAGAAUAACUCACGCAGGUGCAAUGCCUGCAUAGUGAUUAACAAAUAGCUUGCAGGCUUAGACCUAUCGUGCUAAGCACUGAACGGAUAACGACCGACCCCUGGACAUCGCAACGUCCCUGCAAGCAC
rnacentral:sRNA from 1 species